rnacentral:tRNA from 1 species
AGCAGCGUGGCUCAGUCGGAAAGAGCCUGGGCUUAGGAGUCAGAGGCCAUGGGUUCGAAUCCCGGCUCUGCCA